UGACGUAGGGGGCAAGCGUUGUCCGGAUUUACUGGGCGUAAAGAGCGUGUAGGCGGCCAAACAGGUCCGUUGUGAAAACUGGAGGCUCAACCUCCAGACGUCGACGGAAACCGUAUGGCUAGAGUCCGGAAGAGGAGAGUGGAAUUCCUGGUGUAGCGGUGAAAUGCGCAGAUAUCAGGAAGAACACCAAUGGCGAAGGCAGCUCUCUGGGACGGUACUGACGCUGAGACGCGAAAGCGUGGGGAGCGAACAGG
rnacentral:rRNA from 1 species